rnacentral:rRNA from 1 species
UCUUAGCUUGCUAAGGCUGAUGGCGACCGGCGCACGGGUGAGUAACACGUAUCCAACUUGCCGUCUACUCUUGGCCAGCCUUCUGAAAGGAAGAUUAAUCCAGGAUGGGAUCAUGAGUUCAUAUGUCCGCAUGAUUAAAGGUAUUUUCCGGUAGACGAUGGGGAUGCGUUCCAUUAGAUAGUAGGCGGGGUAACGGCCCACCUAGUCAACGAUGGAUAGGGGUUCUGAGAGGAAGGUCCCCCACAUUGGAACUGAGACACGGUCCAAACUCCUACGGGAGGCAGCAGUGAGGAAUAUUGGUCAAUGGGCGAUGGCCUGAACCAGCCAAGUAGCGUGAAGGAUGACUGCCCUAUGGGUUGUAAACUUCUUUUAUAAAGGAAUAAAGUCGGGUAUGCAUACCCGUUUGCAUGUACUUUAUGAAUAAGGAUCGGCUAACUCCGUGCCAGCAGCCGCGGUAAUACGGAGGAUCCGAGCGUUAUCCGGAUUUAUUGGGUUUA